GUUAGUGUGAAACCUGUCGACCUCGAUGCUAGACCCUCCUCUUCCUGUCACAAUAUGGGUUUCAGAGAAAAGGACCUCGAGCUGAAAACUUUCCACUCGAUCGAACCAAUCGCUGCUCGUAUGUCCUUUCAUGGUAAAGUACAUCUAGUCAUGAACACGGAAAUACGCAGCAAAGACCUUGUUACUCAAAGACCCAGCUACUCUCUGACAGUCACCAUCAGACCAUCAGACCCCCAGAUGGACAGGCUGUGUGUCGCUCUGAUUACAUUCUUAUGUGCUGUUUCCUCCAGUCAGGAUGGGAUCCCUGCAGCAGAGGUGGAGCUGAGAGUCAGACCAGGAGACAACAUCACUCUCUACUGUGACUGUAUCAUAACUACUGGAGUUCACAUUAUCUGGUAUAGGAACUGUUCUCACAAGUACCAGCCUCCUCUAGUUAUUUCAACUAAGUUUGUUAGUUACAUCUCUCCCCCUGGAUAUAAUGUGUUGUGGAACCCCUCUAACAAGUCCUAUGAUCUACUGAUUGAGAACAUCACUGAAUCUGACCUGGGACUCUACUACUGUGGGACUGUGGAGAAGAAGAUAGUGGAUGAUGGAGGUAAAGGAGGAAUUUUACAGAAAGAGUUGUACCACUAUGGAAACAUCACCACUAGGAUUUCACUUGGUAAGAACAGUUAUUAUUCUGUCUUUAUCUUCUGUCUGUAUCUUUGGUGUUAUUAAUAUUGUAUUAGUAUUGGUGUGUCUGGGUUCCUUGAACGAGAGGGAGAGGUGGAAGGAAAGCCAAAGAAAAUGUAUCUUAUUUUAGAUUAAUAAUUCAAGGUUGAUUAAGGGCAUAAAAUGUCCCCUCAAAUGAAUGUUUAAACAUCCAAGAGUAUAUAUAUUAUAUAUAUAUUAUUGAGAAGGUCUUGAUUGUUUCUAAUUGUGUAGUUCUGUUUCUGUUUAAUGUUGUGUCCAGACGUCGGUCCUCCUGAGUCCUCCUCCUCCUCCCCUCCUCCUGUAGACUGUGGACUGUGUUGGAUGUUGCUGUUCAGUCUGUGUCCUGUGUCUGCUCUCCUCUCCUCUCUCCUCUCCUUUGCCUGUGUCUACUCCUUCUGCAGAACCACAGCUCCAUCUGAGACUCAGGUUCCUCUGAACAGGACGACCACCAGGGGAAGUGACAGCAGAGAGCAGACUACAGUCAGAUACCUACGCAUCCAUUAAAUCAUCCAGCAUUAUGAGACCGAAACCAUCCAUCAAUACCAGCAGAGUGAGACCCAUUACCAGCCAUCAAUACCAGCAGAGAUUGAGACCUAUACCAUCCAUCA